AAUUCACUUUGAGUCAUCAGGCAAUGGAAUUAGGGCACUUCGCCACCAGGAUGAAGCUAGCAUGCCAUGUUUUUUUAAGCAUACAAAACUGUUCAUUUGAGUCUAUUCAAACAGACCCCAUUUCAAAGGAAACAAGCACUCAUUAAGAGCAGAUGUGGCCAAUUAGUGGGUAUGGCUAACACAUCUGAACACACUUAAGAUGAGGGCAUUGGAUUCCAGCUGAAUCACGCGCUGCGGCGCUCCCUGGCAGCUCCAAGUGCUGCUCUCGCCUGGAGUUGGAUGGUGGCCAUUUUGUUAUCAAAAGCUAUGGCUGGGCAGAUGACUCCUUAAUUAUCGGAGAAUCACAGUGGACAGAGAUUCAAAAGCAUGGCAAGUAGUGACCUGCCAUUCAUCUGCCCCAGUGCAACACAAACCAGAUGGACACGGCCCGUCACCAAGUAACAUCUCCAGAAAGCCGCGUCCCCCUGCCAGUCCUCCCACCCCAGAGUCAGAGGAAGAUGAAAGGUACGGCCAUGGGGAGACCGGUUGUGCCAAACAGCGCCAGAUCUGAUCUGAUGAACAACUGCACAGGGAAGGAAUCAAAGUGGCUGGAGGCGCUUGGUGUUUUAGUUGAACAGAAGCUGUUGGAAGAUCGACUGCAGUAGGCUGUAAGAGGAUAGAGGCUGGGGAAUGCAGUGGAUAUUACUACUGUAGCUAAAUAGACAAAAAAUAAGAAGUUAUCAAUUCCAUCACUAUAGUGUGUUGAUUAGCUGGGUCUUAUAUAGUCAUAUAAUAGGUCAUAUACUGUAUUUAAUUCUUAUUAAUACUAGGCCUAUUUUGUUAAUCGUUUUUAAUGACCUUUUGUUGAAUGUAUAUCACUAAUAUGUACAUAAAGUGUGUUCAUGAACCA